AAGGUUUUAUUAUAUUUUAGUAUACUUAAUUGCAGAUUAAGGGGAUGGCGGCCUUU
rnacentral:tRNA from 1 species